GUUUAGUUCUCUCUUUUUUCUUGUCUCUUUUAAAUAUCUUUUAAGGUUGAUAACUUAACACAUUAAAAGCUUAAUUAAGUUUAGCCAUCAACUUCUCAAACGUGGACUUCAGAAAUCCAAAUUCAAGGAGUUAAAUCCUGCAUCGUUUCACAUUUCAUGCGCCAACUGCGGAGCCCAGUUUCACAGAAAUCAGAGGCAAAAUCAACUAACAGCUUCCUCAUUAAGAGCCUGACUCGAAAGAGAACUUGAGUUCUAUGGAUUGUGCCGAUCGGCUAGAAAUGAAAAAUUCUCAAAAAAUCUCGUACACAGUCUCGUGGAGCGGCAUAGUUGUACCCAAAAUUUUGCUGGGCGUUGAUCCUUCGUUCACUUCAACCUGGAAGAGCCGAUGGAUCAACUUCUAGUUCUCAGGUAUGAAGAUUAACGACAACAAUGCUUCGCCAAAUCAGCGAUCGAUCUAGGCAGGAAGCUCAAGAAUAAAGUGUAGCUUUCGAUGGGUUUUAAGCAAAAAUUGCAAUGUACUAAGUUCAAAUCUUUUGCAAAUGAUCCAGAAAAUAAAUGUAAUGAUUCGUUCUCUCAAUACAGUUCAAAGUGUAAUAUUUGGAUAAGUAAAAGUACUUAGCAACAGAUUCGCUCGCUCACUUAAUCAAACUGAAUACAGCACAAAUACGAUUGAUAAUAAUAUUGAUAGCAACAUGCAAGCAAGAGCGGGUCCGA